UACAGAGGUCUCAAGCGUUGCUCGGAUUCAUUGGGCGUAAAGGGUGUGUAGGUGGCGCCGUAAGUCGGGUGUGAAAUUUCGGAGCUUAACUCCGAAACUGCAUUCGAUACUGGCGUGCUUGAGGACUGGAGAGGAGACUGGAAUUCAUGGUGUAGCAGUGAAAUGCGUAGAGAUCAUGAGGAAGACCAGUGGCGAAGGCGGGUCUCUGGACAGUUCCUGACACUGAGACACGAAGGCCAGGGGAGCAAACGGG
rnacentral:rRNA from 1 species